CUUGGUGGGGGGGAGCCCAUUCACCUCCGCGGGGGAGCCAGGGUCUCUGGCAGCUCCAGGUCCUUUUCAAAUCUGAGGCGGAGACAUCCAUUUUAUCUGCAGCCUCCUCCAGGACUGUCCCCUUUGAUUUUCAAGAGCAUUUUCUUCUCUGGGCAAAAGCAGCCUCUCACCAAUCAAAGGCAUGGCCUCUGUCUGAUGUGGGCUUCAGUCAGUCUAUCUGGGAAGUUGAAAAAACAAUGGCAUCUAAACACCGGCUGUUUCUCUCUCUUUAUAUUUCUGUUAUAAAAGCACUAAUUCUCCGGGCUCUAAAGUGGAACCUCUGAUUGACGGCAGAUGUGGGGAAAAUGAAAGCAAAAUUGUUAUUAUUGCAAGAUAAGUUCUUGUUGCCUUUCCUGUAUGUCUGCGCGGCUUGUUUUCUCACUCCGUUGUCUUUUCACUUGGUUCAGAAUCUUCUGCCACUCAGCAGUUCAAUGUUUUGAUGAAGUUAAAUCGAGCCAUCUUUCCUGUUUUUUAUUUAUUUAUUUUUUUGAUUUAUCUGAGGCUUUUACAGAAUUUUUUUUUUUCACAGUUAGUUCUUUAACUCAAAGCCUCUUUUGUGUGUGGGUUUGCUGUAAGACAGAGUCUGAAUUUUAUAUUUUUCAAAUUGGAGAUCUGUUAUCCUAACGCUGUGUGUCUGAUCGCCUGUCUGUUCUUCACAGGUUUAAAAUGCUGCACUAGUUAGCUAGAUGGAUAUGUGCAGAGGGAUGAUAGAGAUAGAUAAAAGAUAGAAAGAAAGAUGCUACUCGGUUACAGAUACAACUAGAUAAGUAAUAUUUAUCUUAUUUUACAGCACAAUUUUAUUUCUGGUUUGACAAGUCCCUUGUUUUUGCUCAUUUAAAAUGCUUCUUGCAGCAGGCGGAGUGGGGAGGUACUGUUUGGUGGUUGGCAUUUCCAACAAGGAAGCUGUGGAAGUUCAGCAGGUGGUACUGGUUGCACGCUACCUGAAUGAUGCCACUGGACUCACCAGGGGCUAGAAUGAUGAAUACAUAUUUUGGAUGCUUUGGUCAGAGUUGCAUAAACUUUGUGGAUCACCUGGGGAGUGCACACCUCUUUGGAGUUCUGAGUCCUUGCCCUGCUUCCCUUUCACUCUGAACUCCAGUUGGGGCUUCAGCAGUGCGUUCCUAUUGUCCUCAGCUUGUUCCUGGCUCCUUGUAAAUGCAUUUGGGAAAGUACC